rnacentral:miRNA from 1 species
UGCAUAAUAACAACAUAUACGCA